UCCUGCAUUGAAAGUGAUCGUGCUCUGCCCCUGCCCUGUCAUUGACAGUGCAGGGAGAGGAAUCGCUGAAAGAUGUUUCCCCGUGUGUGGAGGGCCCAGUGGAUCUUUCUGAUACCUAGCUUCUUCCUCUUG